UACGAAGGGGGCUAGCGUUGUUCGGAAUAACUGGGCGUAAAGCGCAUGUAGGCGGACGGUUAAGUCAGAGGUGAAAUCCCGGGGCUCAACCCCGGAACGGCCGUUGAUACUGGCAGUCUGGAGUCCGGAAGAGGUGAGUGGAAUUGCGAGUGUAGAGGUGAACUUCGUAGAUAUUCGCAGGAACACUAGUGGCGAAGGCGGCUCACUGGUCCGGUACUGACGCUGAGGUGCGAAAGCGUGGGGAGCAAGCAGG
rnacentral:rRNA from 1 species